UACGAAAGGUGCAAGCGUUGUUCGGAAUCAUUGGGCGUAAAGCGCACGUAGGCGGGAAUAUAUGUCGAUUGUGAAAGCCCAGGGCUCAACCUUGGAAUUGCAGUCGAAACUGUAUUUCUUGAAUACUUGAGAGGGUGGGGGAAUUCCUGGUGAAGCAGUGAAAUGCGUAGAUAUCAGGAGGAACACCGGAGGCGAAGGCGCCUGCCUGGCAAGAUAUUGACGCUGAGGUGCGAAAGCGUGGGGAGCAAACAGG
rnacentral:misc_RNA from 1 species